rnacentral:rRNA from 1 species
UACGUAGGGUGCAAGCGUUAAUCGGAAUUACUGGGCGUAAAGCGUGCGCAGGCGGUGAUGUAAGACCGAUGUGAAAUCCCCGGGCUAACCUGGGGAACUGCAUUGGUGACUGCAUGCUAGAGUAUGGCAGAGGGGGGGUGGAAUUCCACGUGUAGCAGUGAAAUGCGUAGUAGAUGUGGAGGAACACCGAUGGCGCAAGGCAGCCCCCUGGGCCGAU